GCUUCCGUGGCUCAGUUGGUUAUGGCGCCAACUGCAGCACCGCCAUCCGAUGACAAAGUGGGAGACGUCCUACGAGUUGGUUGGUCGCGGGUUCGAUUCCCGCCGGAGGUG